rnacentral:rRNA from 1 species
UACGUAGGGGGCAAGCGUUGUCCGGAUUUAUUGGGCGUAAAGAGCGUGUAGGCGGCUUGGUAGGUCCGCUGUGAAAACUCGAGGCUCAACCUCGAGAUGUCGGCGGAAACCACUUGGCUAGAGUCCGGAAGAGGAGAGUGGAAUUCCUGGUGUAGCGGUGAAAUGCGCAGAUAUCAGGAAGAACACCUAUGGCGAAGGCAGCUCUCUGGGACGGUACCGACGCUGAGACGCGAAAGCGUGGGGAGCGAACAGG